CAGUCGCCGCGGUAACACAGAGGAUGCAAGCGUUAUCCGGAAUGAUUGGGCGUAAAGGGAGCGUAGGCGGAUCGUUAAGUUGGGGGUGAAAGCCCGGGGCUCAACCUCGGAAUUGCCUUCAAUACUGGCGAUCUUGAGUAAGGAAGAGGUAUGUGGAACUCCGAGUGUAGAGGUGAAAUUCGUAGAUAUUCGGAAGAACACCAGUGGCGAAGGCGACAUACUGGUCCAUUACUGACGCUGAGGCUCGAAAGCGUGGGGAGCAAACAGGAUUAGAUACCCCAGUAGUCCCUGUCUCUUAUAC
rnacentral:rRNA from 1 species